CUUUUCGGUAGAAAAAGAAAAGUCCUACCAAAACCUGCACGUUCACUGAUGCCAUUAAAAUCCACGAGAAAGGAGGAAGCUUUUUCCUGGAAGUUCUAACUUGGUGUGAGAACAGCUUCCGACAGUCUCCAUCUCAUCCUGCAGUGUGUGUGUACACUGAAGCCUUUGAUACAGCAAACAAAAU
rnacentral:lncRNA from 1 species